AUCUUUGAGUAUCACAACCCCGCUGUUCAAUGAGAUUCGUUAGCACAUUUUGAAACAUUGUAAAGCUCUGUUUCAGGCUAGCUGGCGAAGCUGCUGCAUCUCCUCCUCCUACUUUGUUGACUGCAGCCCUAGAGGGUCAGCGAGUGUCUGCUCAUAACAAAUACCACUCUCCCCGAAUCACAGAGGAACGUGAGCUCUUUUCGUGGGAUUUGUCUUAAACCUCUAAAGUACCAAUACACACUCCUAGUGAAAUAAUGAAUCCAGGCAAUCGUCUGCAAUGGUUGCUGACAUUACAGAGGGGCCGAAGGAAAUUACGUGGCUCCUAUUGGAAUUUUACAAUACCACCUAUAAGGCAGUGCUGGAUGAAGGGCAGGCCCUCCCUCUGGGACGUGAUGGGAUGUCCCAUGAGUUUUUUGGCAGCUCCCACUACUCAUCCUGGGAAAUUAAUUCUCUCCACUGUGUGCAGUCUCAGUUUGGUCGGAAGCCCAGGUAUUUGCUCUGCCAUUAUGGACCGUAAAGUGAUUCCUGGAGGCUCCUUUCAUCGGAUCCUUUUUCUUAUCACUCAAGAACCACCAAGAGGUAGGCACAUGGUACUAUCAGAGUCUCAUGCAACUUUAAAUCUUGGGUGGAAUUAUGCAAAGUUGGAGGAAAUUAUUGGAGCUCCUGAAUGUCAAUGGUACAAUUUGGGCAAGAUUGACAGCAAGACCUUCUGGAGUCCCCUGGUUUUGUGUAGUUCAAGACUCGAUUGUCAUCUCUUCCUUCCAAUUUGUGGUCCCCCUAGCUUGGGAGGAAGCAUCAUGAAGUGGAAGAACCCUGAGCAGAGAGUCAUGGGACCUGAGCUCUAGUUGUGGCUUUGCAGCUAACUUGCUUUGAGACCCAGGAGAGAUCCUCAAACCUCUUUGGACUUUAAUUUCCUCAUCUAUGAAGACAAUAGGCCAGAUAACCUUGAAGGUUCAGUUUUUAAAACUAUAAUUUCAUGGCUCGGUUGUUACUUACUGGUUAGGGACCACUAUCAGAAAAUAAUGAUGCUUUAAUUAAAGUAAGAACUUUUGUAGAAGUUUCCCUUGAUGUUUCAACACAUGAGGUGCUGUGACUAUGCCAGAUAUGUCAAUCCGUGACUGAGUGUUUACUCCGUAGGUCAUCUCUUGGGUGGGGUGACCGGAUAUUGGAACAGAUUCCUACAACAGAGAGAGUGAAGGGGCAUGUAACUGCCUGUUCUUGGAAAAUAUUACUUCAGCUCACUGGGGUGUUUCUGACAGAAUGAGCCUCAAAGAUGAUUGAUGGGGUUGGCUUUAGAUCCAGAGAGUGGGAAAUGCUGACGCAUUACAUUAAAAUUCAAAUAGAACCCAUUCAGCAGAUAUUUGCUGGGAGUAAGGCACCCUGCCUUUCAGAGGGCUUGAGCCUGUUGUAAAUUUGAGGUGUGUAUACACAAUGCCUCAUUUGGGAGUGAUUGUCACGGAAUGUUUCCUAACUUUUCUAG
rnacentral:lncRNA from 1 species